rnacentral:rRNA from 1 species
UACGUAGGGACCAAGCGUUGUCCGGAAUCAUUGGGCGUAAAGAGCGUGUAGGCGGCUUGUUAAGUCUUGCGUGAAAUCUCGGGGCUCAACCCCGAGCGGUCGUGAGAAACUGGCAGGCUAGAGUGCGGGAGAGGAGAGUGGAAUUCCUGGUGUAGCGGUGAAAUGCGCAGAUAUCAGGAAGAACACCCGUGGCGAAGGCGGCUCUCUGGAACGCAACUGACGCUGAGACGCGAAAACGUGGGGAGCAAACAGG